AGUGAACGCUGGCGGUAGGCCUAACACAUGCAAGUCGAACGGCAGCACAGUAAGAGCUUGCUCUUACGGGUGGCGAGUGGCGGACGGGUGAGGAAUACAUCGGAAUCUACUUUUACGGGGGGGAUAACGUAGGGAAAGUUACGCUAAUACCGCAUACGACCUACGGGUGAAAGCAGGGGAUCUUCGGACCUUUCGCGAUUGAAUGAGCCGAUGUCGGAUUAGCUAGUUGGCGGGGUAAAGGCCCACCAAGGCGACGAUCCGUAGCUGGUCUGAGAGGAUGAUCAGCCACACUGGAACUGAGACACGGUCCAGACUCCUACGGGAGGCAGCAGUGGGGAAUAUUGGACAAUGGGCGCAAGCCUGAUCCAGCCAUACCGCGUGGGUGAAGAAGGCCUUCGGGUUGUAAAGCCCUUUUGUUGGGAAAGAAAAGCAGCAGGUUAAUACCCCGCUGUUCUGACGGUACCCAAAGAAUAAGCACCGGCUAACUUCGUG
rnacentral:rRNA from 1 species